CAAUACAUUCAGUGGCGAACGGGUGAGUAACGCGUGGAUAAUCUACCUACGAGAUGGGGAUAACUAUUAGAAAUAGUAGCUAAUACCGAAUAAAGUCAAUUGAGAUGUUAAUUGAUGAAAGGAAGCCUUUAAAGCUUCGCUUGUAGAUGAGUCUGCGUCUUAUUAGCUAGUUGGUAGGGUAAGAGCCUACCAAGGCUAUGAUAAGUAACCGGCCUGAGAGGGUGAUCGGUCACACUGGAACUGAGAUACGGUCCAGACUCCUACGGGAGGCAGCAGCUAAGAAUCUUCCGCAAUGGGCGAAAGCCUGACGGAGCGACACUGCGUGAACGAAGAAGGUCGAAAGAUUGUAAAGUUCUUUUAUAAAUGAGGAAUAAGCUUUGUAGGAAAUGACAAAGUGAUGACGUUAGUUUAUGAAUAAGCCCCGGCUAAUUACGUGCCAGCAGCCGCGGUAAUACGUAAGGGGCGAGCGUUGUUCGGGAUCAUUGGGCGUAAAGGGUGAGUAGGCGGAUAUGUAAGUCUAUGUGUAAAAUACCACAGCUCAACUGUGGAACUAUGCUAGAAACUGCAUGACUAGAGUCUGAUAGGGGAAGUUAGAAUUCCUGGUGUAAGGGUGGAAUCUGUUGAUUCRAAAAA
rnacentral:rRNA from 1 species